rnacentral:rRNA from 1 species
GAUGAACGCUGGCGGCGUGCUUAACACAUGCAAGUCGAACGGAAAGGCCCAAGCUUGCUUGGGUACUCGAGUGGCGAACGGGUGAGUAACACGUGGGUGAUCUGCCCUGCACUUCGGGAUAAGCCUGGGAAACUGGGUCUAAUACCGGAUAGGACCACAUUUUGGAUGGUGUGGUGGAAAGUUUUUCGGUGUGGGAUGAGCUCGCGGCCUAUCAGCUUGUUGGUGGGGUAAUGGCCUACCAAGGCGUCGACGGGUAGCCGGCCUGAGAGGGUGUACGGCCACAUUGGGACUGAGAUACGGCCCAGACUGCUACGGGAGGCAGCAGUGGGGAAUAUUGCACAAUGGGCGCAAGCCUGAUGCAGCGACGCCGCGUGGGGGAUGACGGCCUUCGGGUUGUAAACUCCUUUCGCUAGGGACGAAGCGCAAGUGACGGUACCUGGAGAAGAAGCACCGGCUAACUACGUG